rnacentral:lncRNA from 1 species
UUUUUUUUUUUUUUUUUUUUUUUUUUAAUUGAGAGGAGUGACUAUCCCUCCAAAAGCUGCUGAUUAGCACUCUGGCUUGAAAGGCUCCAUGCUAAUAUGUAGUUUGCUACAAAGAUGCCAGGGUUUGGUAUGGUCACUAAAUUAUUUUCCCUUCUCUGAUAAUUGGCUGGUUGAUACUAAUGAAGAGAUGCAACUAUUUUCAUUAUAUUAUUAUUGAAUACCCUUGAAACCACCCACCCCAAGAACUUGGACUUAUCAGUAACUCAUAUCUAUCUAUGACAUCCUCUCUUCUUCCAUCCUCUGCCACCUGACCCAGCAGCCACUAUUCAAAACUUCAUUUUCUUGUUCAGCUUCUCUGUCUUUUGCCGACUGCUAUGGUCUGAAUGUUUGUGUCCCUCCAAAAUUCAUAUGUUGAAAUCUAAUCCCCAACCUGAUAGUGUUAAGAGGUGUGGGGCCUUUCAGGCCUCUGAUUAAAUCAGAGGGAGGAGCCCUUGUGAAUGGGGUUCAUGCCCUUAUAAAAGAAGCUGCAGGGAUUUUGUUUGCUCCUUCUGCCAUUUGAGUACACAGCUAGAAAUGGCAUCUAUGAAGCAGACAGUAGGCCCUUACCAGAUGCCAAAUUUGUUGGCGCCUUGAUCUUGGAUGUUCCAGCCUCCAGAGCUAUGAGCAGUAAAUUUCUGUUGUUCACAAAUUGCGCAGUCUAAAGUGUUUCGUUUUACUAGGCUGAACAGACUGAGGCACUGGCCCAGGGUUUAGCAUUCAGAAGUGUUGCCCCAGGCAUCAGCCUCUGGCUGCCAGCCUCUACAGCCCAGCUCACUUUGUGGGGAUGGGUGGGGUAGGAAUGUCCUUAGGGACUUGUGAGAUAAGCAGUGUCUUCAGAGCAUGUUUUAGCCAGGAUCUUUUUAAAGACAUUCUUUAAUCCUAUACGGCCAAUUGUCUCCUUUUAACCACUAUUUUCUAAUGCUAUCUUUACCGUGCAGAAUGCAAGUCACAGAUAAUGUAACCCAACAACAAACACAAUUCUCCCCCAAAAAAUCAAUGCAAUUUCCUAACUGUAAUGUAAAAGGAAAAAAAAA